CUACGGGAGGCUGCAGUGAGGAAUAUUGGUCAGUGGGGGCAACCCUGAACCAGCGACGCCGCGUGAAGGAUGACAGGGCUUUGCCCCGUAAACUUCUGUCGGGAGGGAAAAAAGGACUGUUUGGCGGUCUGGGAUUGUACCUCUAAAGGAAGCACCGGCUAACUACGUGCCAGCAGCCGCGGUAAUACGUAGGGUGCAAACGUUGUCCGGAAUUACUGGGUGUAAAGGGUGCACAGGCGGUUUUGUGCGUCAGAGGUAAAAUCCCACAGCUCAACUGUGGACCUGCCUUUGAUACGGCGAGACUUGAGUACAAGAGAGGAUGAUAGAAUUCCUGGUGUAGCGGUGAAAUGCGUAGAUAUCAGGAGGAAUACCAGUGGCGAAGGCGGUCAUCUGGCUUGUAACUGACGCUUAAGCACGAAAGCAUGGGUAGCGAACAGGGUUAGAUACCCCAGUAGUC
rnacentral:rRNA from 1 species